rnacentral:rRNA from 1 species
CAGUAGCCGCGGUAAAACGAAGGGUGCAAGCGUUACUCGGAAUUACUGGGCGUAAAGGGUGCGUGGGUGGUCGUUUAAGUCCGUUGUGAAAUCCCUGGGCUCAACCUGGGAAUGGCAGUGGAUACUGGACGGCUAGAAUGCGGUAGAGGGUAGUGGAAUUCCCGGUGUAGCAGUGAAAUGCGUAGAGAUCGGGAGGAACACCAGUGGCGAAGGCGGCUACCUGGACCAGCAUUGACACUCAAGCACGAAAGCGUGGGGAGCAAACAGGAUUAGAUACCCCGGUAGUCCCUGUCUCUUAUAC